GGAUCCUUCCAUCCAUCACGAACCCACAGCUCCACUUUCCUUUUAUUUCCGCCGCCACGCCACGCGCACCUCGGCGAAGGACAAGGCUCCGGCUGCCGCCACCGCCUCUGCCCCCGGCUAUAAAGGCGCGCCCUUUGGCCGGCCCGCUCCUCCUACUCCUCGCUUCGCCCGUGCCAUGCCUUCCUCCUCCUCGCCGCGCUCUGCCCGGUCAGCUCCUCCUCCUCUUCGUCUGGGCGGUGCCUCUCUCCUCCGGCGUCCCCGCCGCGCUCCGGCCGGUCCACUUCUCCUCCACCCUUCGUCCGGGCCGUGCGUCUGCCCUACUCGAGCCGGGUUUCAUCUUGCUCGCCCUCCUCGAUCGAUUUGUCCGUUUAGAAUCGCGUCUGGAUUGCAUUUUGCUCGUCCUCGGUCGAUUUGUCCGUUCAGAGUCGCGUCCGGAUUUGGUUUUGCUCGCCGUCGCCGGUUUAGAUAGCUAGAGAACCCCACCUGAUUUGAUUUUGCUCGUUCUCGCGCUGAAUCCGUCAGUUUAGAACCGCUCCCGAGUUGAUUGUGCUCGUCCCCGCCGUCGUCAGUUUAGAGUCGCUCGCUUCUGAUUUGAUUCUGCUCGUCCUCGCCGUCGCCCGUUUUUGCUCGUCCUAGCCGUUGCCCCUGACGCGCUCGCACGUUCUUGGUCCGCCUCGUCGAGGGUCUCCGUCCGUCUGGUUUGCGAUUGAGAAAUUUCUGCGUGCGCUUCUGUUGUCUGAGAGACGCUUUGGAUCCUGCGUUUCUUCGUGUUCGUGUCGGCGCGAGCGUUACAGGAACGGUCGGGUCUUGGUUUUGAAAUUGGGUUGCGGACGGAGAUGGAGAGGCAGAGAGCAGUUGUCAGCUUGUCGUGCUAGUUCAGACCGCUUGUUCGUCGGUUGUUUUUCAGAUCUCAAACGGCUAGUAGCUUGUUCGUGUUGGUACGCCGGGUCAUGCCCUUUGAUACUCUGGUUCCUCUGUCGAUUCUGAUUGUAGUACCAGCUAGCUUGUUUCACUCUCGUCAGGCGUGCGUGCUCUCAUCCUGGAUGCAGGGGUGAUUCGUUACGGUUGUUCCGAUGGGUGUUAGUGUUACUGCUUCAGUUCUUUUCAAUUGGUUGGUUACUUCCUAUCAUGCUUUGCUUAUGUUCCCAUAUAUGCUGAUGUGUGUUCAGGGGUGCAAAUCAUGUGGCUUGCUGCUUGACUAAUUGAACACCUGCUGCUGCUACUGUAGGACAAGGUUUCCUUCUUUUAUUCCUCGUGUUGCUAUUUCCAUUUUUCAUACAGGAGUACUAGAUGAGGUGCUGCUAGUCUUUAGACUUCGUUCUAGAUUGCACAGCAUAACUCCAGAAUUUUGUCAUUGCACACCUGGGCAUAUAAUUCGGCUGUGAGCAUAACUCCAGAAUUUCUUUAUCUGUGAAAGCACGUUCAUCACAUGUUCUUUAUCAAUGCUGCUCACUUUUGUCACGUCCCUUUUGUUUGUCCUGAUAAAUUUUAUGGCAUCAACUUGGAGCAUCCAGUUUGUACUUCUGUAUUUGUUGCUAUGUAAGCCAUGCACUUGGGAAGCCUGGGCGUGAUUAGGAUUUGGAUUGCAUAUAGAUUUUAUGCUAUGUUUGUUUAUAACCUGGUUGUGACCUAAUAUAGUGUAAAUCUUCUAUUUUUUUUAAUUUAGUUUAUGUUCAGCGCAAGUAGAUUUUGUUCGUAAGUGGUAUUUGUUUUGCGUGUGCAUGAACAUUCAUGCUGUCAAUUUUUCUUAUCAUAAUCAUUUACCGUGGUGUUUGACAAUACAUUUCUACUGUUCUUUGUUCCCUUUUGAGGUUCACUGACUCAAUUAUGAAUGAGAUAUAAUAUCAAUUACUGUUGUCCAGUCACUGAAAUAAUGCUUUUCUUGCUUUGCCUAGACUUUGUGACACGAAUAAGCAUGUGUCUCUGUGCCUACAAACUUGUGGGUAGUGUUGUAGUGAUGAUGAUCCAACUAGCUUCCUGUUUUCAGGAAUGAAGAUUUGAAUUACCCUCACCCUUCUACAGAAAUCAGUUAACUCAUUCAGUUUCUGGAACUUCUUUAUAGCUUUCUGAGUUUACUUCGGUCUUGCAUGUAUUAGCUUUCUGUUUGUAACCCUAUCUAUGUUUGUUUCUUUGUGUGUUUCUUGUGUGCAAGUGCUCCACUGUGUGUGUCUUGACUGUGUGUCUGACUGUGUGUGUGUGUGUGAUAUGCCCCUAUCUAUGUAUGUUUCUUUGUCUGUUUCAUGUGUGCAAGUGCUCCAUUAUCUAUGUAUGUCUGUUUCUUUGUGUGUUUCUUGUGUGCAAGUGCUCCACUGUGUGUCUAAUUGUGCGUGUGUGUGUGUGUGUGUGUGAUGUGCCCCUAUCUAUGUAUGUUUCUUUGUCUGUUUCAUGUGUGCAAGUGCUCCAUUAUCUGUGUGUGACUGUGUUUGACUACUUGGAUGGCGUGAUUCUGAUUGUGUUACUGCUUAUAUGGUCUGUCCAAUUGGUUUCUUAUUCAUGCUUUGCUUGUGUUCCAAUGUCGUCUCCCCAUAUAUGGGGAUGUGUUCAGGUAUGCAAACCAUUUAGGCCGUUUUGAGCAGGCAGGGAUCCAGAGACGUGCGCUGGUCAGGCUUCUCUCCUGCUGAUAGAUGAUGAUAGGCAGCAUGGGCUGAGCAGAAAAGUUUGACUCUUGUAACACUUACUUGGCUUCCACUCCUUUGUGUGGCCGAUUUGGCAUCCAAUGCAUCUCAUGCCUAUCUUAUAUAUCUCACUCGCUCAUCACAGCAUCCUUUUCCCUGUUUUUGUUCCUUUUUUUAUCAUAAUAAUCAUGUAUACCGUGGUGUUUGACAGUACAUUUUUGUGAUAUCUGUGUUUCAUUAUGUCUUAUGUGGAUAGCAUAUUCUUUUUUUGUAUAUUACUGCUGUCCAUUCACUGGAAUAAUGCUUUUCUAAGUAUUUCAGGUAGGAUAUAGACAAAUGUCACAUUUGCUCUUCAGCUUGUUUUGCUAAGGACACUGAUGGGUAGGGUUUGCUUACAGCGCAGGACCGAUAAUUCUGAUAGUAUGCUGAUAGUAUGCCAAGGACUGCUCAGGGUUCCUAUCGCUUUCUGUUUUACCAACUAAGUCGUGGAUCACUCAUCAACCUGGUCUGUGUUUGUAUGCUGAAUUAUUUCCGGAUAGGAUAGAGGUGCAAUGUUUACAUCCAUGGCAGAAGGUUCUUUAACACUGAACUCAUCAAAGAUCCUUGGACUUGAGAGGUCACUACCUGGACGUAUAGGUAAGCAAUGCCGGGAGAGGUCAGCUACCAGAACUUCUUGCUGCUGAUCCUGGGAUGUUUCCAAACAUGCUCCCGAACAUGUUCAAUGUAUCCGCCCUAGGACAGCCACUGCCUUGACACAGCAGGCUGCUCGGCAUGCUCGGCGUGUUUACGUCGGUGGACUUCCUCCAAUCGCUAAUGAAACAGACGGUUGCUCUAUUCUUCAAUCAAGUUAUGGCUGCUAUUUUGGUCUGGGUGAUGCAGUUGCUAAUAUGAAGCUGAAUUUUGAAUUCAUACAAACAUCUUAGCUGGCACAAUCAUCUGAAUCCAAACAUAUGGAAUGAUGCUUGGACUACUGAGGAGGAACAUGCACUGAUUAAUGUCAUCAGGUAUAUGGGAAUAAAUGAGCAGAAAUAGCAGAAGUUCUUCCUGGAAG